UUCUCUGACCGUUGAACCUACGUUCUUACUUAACUUUCUGGAUUUUUUAACGUGAAUGUAUAUGUAAUAGGGUCUAGAAAUAUUUCUACAAUAUAUAUUUACUUACACGCAUACCUAUUAAUUCCAGGAUGUGCAAUACGACGAACCUCCGCCAUUUACAAUAAUAAUAUCGGUGUAAAUAACAAUCAACAGCUCAGUGUAAUGCUAUCGUAGUGGUUUAACACCAAUACCUAUUAAAUUAUUAAAAACUCGGUAAUUCUAACUAGUUUACACAAUGAUUAUUUGGAUCACUGAAAUUGCUUGUACAUUAACGUGUGUCCUAACAUGAAACCUCGUCCGGUCCACAUUGUUGAAGUUGUAAUAAGUAAUACCCAAUAUAAGUACAUGUUUUGUUCAUUCACGUUUAGAAAUAAAAUAGUACUCGAACCUCGAUCACGUAGAUCACUUGUAUUUUCAAUUAAAAUGAGUGCAAAGGUAAAUGGUGCUUGUGACCCUAUUUUAACGUGAAGUUAAGUCCUAUGUUUUUGUGCCUUUUUGCAAAUUCGUGAUAUGUGCUAGUGCGAAAUACUUGUCUACUUACUAAAACAACUAUCAGUCUCCUGUGCAGUAUUAUGCAUCCUCAGUUUAUGCUUCGGACAAGAAAACUCCACUCAGAAGUUAGUAACACAAGGUACCUCCAACGAAACAAGUGAUUCGGAAUCAGAUGAGUCAGAGUGGAUAUCAGACGAUAAGGAUAUGGACCAGGAUGCCAGCAUUUGGCGAAUUUGGCGACCGUUCUGGAACUGGGGUCAAUCAAUGCUUAGUAAGAAGUUUACACGCUUUCCUACAUUAAAGGAAAACGAGAAUGGUGGACUACAUUACCAUCGAGACAGACCUAAACGCAAGUUAAAAAAUAAAAUAAAACUGCUCUUUAAAUUAAAACAA